rnacentral:rRNA from 1 species
AGCGGCGGACGGGCUUUUAACACGUGGAUAACCUACCUAUAAGACUGGGAUAACUUCGGGAAACCGGAGCUAAUACCGGAUAAUAUUUUGAACCGCAUGGUUCAAAAGUGAAAGACGGUCUUGCUGUCACUUAUAGAUGGAUCCGCGCUGCAUUAGCUAGUUGGUAAGGUAACGGCUUACCAAGGCAACGAUGCAUAGCCGACCUGAGAGGGUGAUCGGCCACACUGGAACUGAGACACGGUCCAGACUCCUACGGGAGGCAGCAGUAGGGAAUCUUCCGCAAUGGGCGAAAGCCUGACGGAGCAACGCCGCGUGAGUGAUGAAGGUCUUCGGAUCGUAAAACUCUGUUAUUAGGGUAGAACAUAUGUGUAAGUAACUGUGCACAUCUUGACGGUACCUAAUCAGAAAGCCACGGCUAACUACGUGCCAGCAGCCGCGGGUAAUACGUAGGUGGCAAGCGUUAUCCGGAAUUAUUGGGCGUAAAGCGCGCGUAGGCGGUUUUUUAAGUCUGAUGUGAAAGCCCACGGCUCAACCGUGGAGGGUCAUUGGAAACUGGAAAACUUGAGUGCAGAAGAGGAAAGUGGAAUUCCAUGUGUAGCGGUGAAAUGCGCAGAGAUAUGGAGGAACACCAGUGGCGAAGGCGACUUUCUGGUCUGUAACUGACGCUGAUGUGCGAAAGCGUGGGGAUCAAACAGGAUUAGAUACCCUGGUAGUCCACGCCGUAAACGAUGAGUGCUAAGUGUUAGGGGGUUUCCGCCCCUUAGUGCUGCAGCUAACGCAUUAAGCACUCCGCCUGGGGAGUACGACCGCAAGGUUGAAACUCAAAGGAAUUGACGGGGACCCGCACAAGCGGUGGAGCAUGUGGUUUAAUUCGAAGCAACGCGAAGAACCUUACCAAAUCUUGACAUCCUUUGACAACUCUAGAGAUAGAGCCUUCCCCUUCGGGGGACAAAGUGACAGGUGGUGCAUGGUUGUCGUCAGCUCGUGUCGUGAGAUGUUGGGUUAAGUCCCGCAACGAGCGCAACCCUUAAGCUUAGUUGCCAUCAUUAAGUUGGGCACUCUAAGUUGACUGCCGGUGACAAACCGGAGGAAGGUGGGGAUGACGUCAAAUCAUCAUGCCCCUUAUGAUUUGGGCUACACACGUGCUACAAUGGACAAUACAAAGGGCAGCGAAACCGCGAGGUCAAGCAAAUCCCAUAAAGUUGUUCUCAGUUCGGAUUGUAGUCUGCAACUCGACUACAUGAAGCUGGAAUCGCUAGUAAUCGUAGAUCAGCAUGCUACGGUGAAUACGUUCCCGGGUCU